GUGGGGAAUAUUGGACAAUGGGCGAAAGCCUGAUCCAGCCAUGCCGCGUGUGUGAAGAAGGUCUUCGGAUUGUAAAGCACUUUAAGUUGGGAGGAAGGGUAGUAACCUAAUACGUUGCUACUUGACGUUACCGACAGAAUAAGCACCGGCUAACUUCGUGCCAGCAGCCGCGGUAAUACGAAGGGUGCAAGCGUUAAUCGGAAUUACUGGGCGUAAAGCGCGCGUAGGUGGUUCAGUAAGUUGGAAGUGAAAUCCCCGGGCUCAACCUGGGAACUGCUUUCAAAACUGCUGGGAUAGAGUACGGUAGAGGGUGGUGGAAUUUCCUGUGUAGCGGUGAAAUGCGUAGAUAUAGGAAGGAACACCAGUGGCGAAGGCGACCACCUGGACUGAUACUGACACUGAGGUGCGAAAGCGUGGGGAGCAAACAGGAUUAGAUACCCCGGUAGUCC
rnacentral:rRNA from 1 species